AACGAUUAAAGCACCUUCGGGUGUGUAUAAAGUGGCGAACGGCUGAGUAACACGUGGGCAACCUGCCCCUCUCAUUGGGAUAGCCACGGGAAACCGUGGAUAAUACCGAAUACUUCGAGACUUCCGCAUGGAAGACUCGAGAAAGCUCCGGCGGAGAGGGAUGGGCCCGCGGCCUGUUAGCUUGUUGGUGGGGUAACGGCCUACCAAGGCAAUGAUGGGUAGCUGGGUUGAGAGACCGACCAGCCAGAUUGGGACUGAGACACGGCCCAGACUCCUACGGGAGGCAGCAGUGGGGAAUCUUGCACAAUGGGCGAAAGCCUGAUGCAGCGACGCCGCGUGCGGGAUGAAGGCCUUCGGGUUGUAAACCGCUUUCAGCAGGGACGAGGCGAAAGUGACGGUACCUGCAGAAGAAGCCCCGGCUAACUACGUGCCAGCAGCCGCGGUAAUACGUAGGGGGCAAGCGUUAUCCGGAUUCAUUGGGCGUAAAGCGCUCGUAGGCGGUCUGUUAGGUCGGGAGUUAAAUCCGGGGGCUCAACCCCCGUUCGCUCCCGAUACCGGCAGACUUGAGUUUGGUAGGGGAAGGUGGAAUUCCUAGUGUAGCGGUGGAAUGCGCAGAUAUUAGGAAGAACACCAGUGGCGAAGGCGGCCUUCUGGGCCAUAACUGACGCUGAGGAGCGAAAGCUAGGGGAGCAAACAGGAUUAGAUACCCUGGUAGUCCUAGCCGUAAACGAUGGACACUAGGUGUGGGGGAAUAUUUCUUCCGUGCCGCAGCU
rnacentral:rRNA from 1 species